rnacentral:misc_RNA from 1 species
GGAAGGAUCAUUAACAAGUCUGCUCUGUGCGGGGUGGAUUAUUUGCCCUGGCACAUUAGUGCUGCGCGCCCCGUGUGCGUGGUAGAGUGUACAUUCCUCCUUUUGACUGAUGCUUGCAAGAAAACGAACAACUUUUAACAAUGGAUCUCUAGGCUCUUGCAUCGAUGAAGAACGCAGUAAAGUGCGAAAAGUAAUGCGAUUUGCAUGCUCUGUGAGUCAUCGAGUCUUUGAACGCAUAUGGCACCUCCAGGCGCUGCCCGGAGGUAUGUCUGUUUGAGAAUCAUUUAUACACUUUUGAUUUCGUUUUGAUCCUUGAUAUCAACAGAAUCGACUUGGGCCCACAUCACUGUCGCCCGGAAGCAGCCGCGCUGUCGUGGGGUUACAGAUGCUGCGACAACGAACGCCACACACCGUGAUCUCAAAUCAGACAGGACUACCCGCCGAACUUAAGCAUAUCAGUAAGCGGAGGAAAAGAAACUAACAAGGAUUCCCCCAGUAACGGCGAGUGAAGCGGGAAGAGCCCAAAUUUGAAAUCUGGGGGCCGCGCCCUCCGAAUUGUAGUUUAAAGAGGCGCCCACUGGCAGGCGCGGGGCCGCACAGGUCCCCUGGAACGGGGCACCGCAGAGGGUGAGAGUCCCGUUGUGCGGAGCCGCGCCGGCCGCCGGGUGCGUCGACGAGUCGAGCUGUUUGGGAGUGCAGCUCAAAGGGGUGGUAAACUCCAUCCAAGGCUAAAUACGGGCAAGAGACCGAUAGCGAACAAGUACCGUGAGGGAAAGAUGAAAAGCACCUUGGAAAGGGAGUUAAACAGCGCGUGAAAUUGUUAAAAGGGAAACGAUUGGGGCCGGUAGUGCGGCGGGCGGUCAAGCAAUUGGCGCCACUGUCGCGGGUCAACGGCGGUGCGCGGCGCUGCAUGAGCUGGCGGGAAAGGUGGGCACAUUGUGCCUUUACAGUCCCGCGCAGCGGCAGUGCGGCGCACCGGACGCCCUCGUGUCCAUUGCGCAACGGUGCGGCAGGCGCCUGCGGACAGCAUGCUGGCCGGGGACGCUCAGCGCACGCAAGCGCAAUGCAGAGGGGGGAUGCGUUGACGGAGCGGCCCCAAACGACCCGUCUUGAAACACGGACCAAGGAGUCCAGCGUGUGUGCGAGUAUUUGGGUGGCAAGCCCGGAUGCGCAAUGAAGGUGAUCAUCGAUGGGACGACGCACGUCUGCACCAUUGGCCGAUCCUCUGACAGCAGAGGACUCGCGUCGGAGCACACCCGCUGGGACCCGAAAGAUGGUGAACUAUGCCUGAAUAGGGUGAAGCCAGAGGAAACUCUGGUGGAAGCCCGUAGCCGUUCUGACGUGCAAAUCGAUGGUCGAAUUUGGGUUAUAGGGGCGAAAGACUAAUCGAACCAUCUAGUAGCUGGUUCCCUC